rnacentral:rRNA from 1 species
CAAGGAAUUUUCGUCAAUGGCCGAAAGGCUGAACGAGCAACGCCGCGUGGGCGAAGAAGUCUUUCGGGAUGUAAAGCCCUUUUCCCUGUGAAGAAGAAAAGACGGUAACAGGGGAAUAAGCAUCGGCUAACUACGUGCCAGCAGCCGCGGUAAUACGUAGGAUGCAAGCGUUGUCCGGAAUUAUUGGGCGUAAAGAGCGCGCAGGCGGUUGGUCAAGUCAGAUGUGAAAUAACCAGGCUUAACCUGGUGGGGUCAUUUGAAACUUGGACCGACCUAGAGACCAGCAGAGGCAUCGCGGAAUUCCCGGUGUACGUGGUGAAAUGCGAU